rnacentral:tRNA from 1 species
UGGAUUUUAGUUUAUUGAAAACAAUUAACUUGCAAUUAAUAAAUAUAUAUAUAUUAUAAAUCUAA